UACGGUGGAUGCGAGCGUUAUCCGGAUUUAUUGGGUUUAAAGGGUGCGUAGGCGGAAGAUUAAGUCAGUGGUAAAAUUGCGAAGCUCAACUUCGUAUCGCCAUUGAAACUGGUUUUCUUGAGUGAGUGAGAAGUAUGCGGAAUGCGUGGUGUAGCGGUGAAAUGCAUAGAUAUCACGCAGAACUCCGAUUGCGAAGGCAGCAUACCGGCGCUCAACUGACGCUGAAGCACGAAAGCGUGGGGAUCGAACAGG
rnacentral:rRNA from 1 species